AGUUGGGAAUCUUGGACAAUGGGGGAAACCCUGAUCCAGCCAUGCCGCGUGAGUGAUGAAGGCCUUCGGGUUGUAAAACUCUUUCGCGCACGACGAUAAUGACGGUAGUGCGAGAAGAAGCUCCGGCUAACUUCGUGCCAGCAGCCGCGGUAAUACGAAGGGGGCUAGCGUUGUUCGGAAUUACUGGGCGUAAAGCGCGCGCAGGCGGCUAUCCAAGUCAGUGGUGAAAGCCCGGAGCUCAACUCCGGAACUGCCAUUGAAACUGUUUAGCUUGAGUAUGAGAGAGGUGAGUGGAAUUCCCAGUGUAGAGGUGAAAUUCGUAGAUAUUGGGAAGAACACCGGUGGCGAAGGCGGCUCACUGGCUCAUUACUGACGCUCAGGCGCGACAGCGUGGGGAUCAAA
rnacentral:rRNA from 1 species